AAUUCGGCCGGGCUGAGUAUAUAUGUGUCUCUGCAUACAUUGAUACAUAAAUGCAUCGUCUUCCGUGGAAAGAGUAGAAUUUUUUUAUUUUUUUUGAUAUAGGGUGUGCUGCUCGCUAGCGACGUACGGAUGGACCACCCGGUCCAUUAUUCGAUCUACAAACUCAAUUAACACAGUACUGCAUGCCAUUGGACUGGCACUGUGAAAAUGCUUUGGCUACUGUAUACGGAUGGAUGGAUCUCUGAUGUUCUGGAUGGCGAUUGGCAUUGAUUCAAGUUGGCCAUGCAUUGCAACGACUCGAUCUGCAAGCACGGGAUCGAUCCAGAUCGAUUGUUAAUUAUCAAUCCAGGGGAUCAGAAUAUGGAAAAUUAAGCUGUGGACACAUCACACAUGCUCGUGAAAAAACUUCGAUUAAACGCGCGUGUCAAAAGGAGCGCCCGUGCGUGAGUUGUACGUGUCAACUACUACUAGCAGCAAUGUAUAUGUGCUGUAUUCAGUAUUCUAGAAUAGCUAGUAGAUCUGGACUGCCUGAAACGUGUCUUUGCAUGCACCGUGUUAAUUCGGUGAAAGAGUUGAAUUGGAGGUUGGUUGGAUCAGUUCUUGAUUAAAAAAAAGGUAUAUACUUGUGACAAAAGUAUAUAGUACAAAAAAAAAUACUUGUGAUCACAUCAGUGACAAAAGUAUAUACAAAUAAAAAUACUUGCGAUCACAUCUAAUUCUACAUUGCAUGCAUACUGACUGGCGAACAACAAGCGGUAACAUUAAUUGGGGGAUCUAAAAGGUGCCCGGAAGGAAAACCCACGACGCACAAGCAAAGAUCUCAAAUGCUCUGUUCGGAGGGCUUGUCGUCUGCGAUCUCAGGUUGAACACUUCGCCCGUGUCCACGAAAUAAAUCCCGUCCUCCUCCCCCGCUUUGCUUGCGGGGAUAGACUUGCUGAAGCGCGUGGCCGCCU
rnacentral:lncRNA from 1 species